rnacentral:rRNA from 2 species
GACGGAUGGGGCUAGCGUUGUUCGGAAUUACUGGGCGUAAAGGGCGCGUAGGCGGCCAAUUAAGUUAGACGUGAAAGCCCUGGGCUUAACCUAGGAAUUGCGUUUAAUACUGGUUGGCUUGAGUAUGGUAGAGGAAAGCGGAAUUCCUAGUGUAGAGGUGAAAUUCGUAGAUAUUAGGAAGAACACCAGAGGCGAAGGCGGCUUUCUGGGCCAUUACUGACGCUGAGGCGCGAAAGCGUGGGGAGCAAAC